rnacentral:rRNA from 1 species
UACGUAGGGGGCAAGCGUUGUUCGGAUUUACUGGGCGUAAAGGGCGCGUAGGCGGUCAGCACAAGUCAGUUGUGAAAUCUCCGGGCUUAACCCGGAAAGGUCAACUGAUACUGUGCGACUAGAGUGCGGAAGGGGCAACUGGAAUUCUUGGUGUAGCGGUGAAAUGCGUAGAUAUCAAGAGGAACACCUGCGGCGAAGGCGGGUUGCUGGGCCGACACUGACGCUGAAGCGCGAAAGCCAGGGGAGCGAACGGG